rnacentral:rRNA from 1 species
UAUGGUAAUUGUGUGCCGCCGCGGUAAUACGUAUGGUGCAAGCGUUAUCCGGAUUUACUGGGUGUAAAGGGUGCGUAGGUGGUGAGACAAGUCUGAAGUGAAAAUCCGGGGCUUAACCCCGGAACUGCUUUGGAAACUGCCUGACUAGAGUACAGGAGAGGUAAGUGGAAUUCCUAGUGUAGCGGUGAAAUGCGUAGAUAUUAGGAGGAACACCAGUGGCGAAGGCGACUUACUGGACUGCUACUGACACUGAGGCACGAAAGCGUGGGGAGCAAACAGG